AUACGGAGGGAGCAAGCGUUAUUCGGAAUCACUGGGCGUAAAGGACGCGUAGGCGGGUUUGUAAGUCAGGUGUGAAAUCCUACAGCUCAACUGUAGAACUGCACUUGAAACUACAGACCUAGAGUAUGGAAGGGGCAGAUGGAAUUAGUGGUGUAGGGGUAAAAUCCGUAGAUAUCACUAGGAAUACCGAAAGCGAAGGCGAUCUGCUGGGACAUUACUGACGCUGAGGCGUGAAAGCGCGGGGAGCAAACAGGAUUAGAAACCCGAGUAGUCC
rnacentral:rRNA from 1 species